GAGCUUGUUCUGGCAGCACAAACACCACAACUGGAACGACACUGAGCCUGGCAUGGCCACUGCGCAGGGAUGCCACGCAAACUGGUUAAGUAUCACAUGUUCUG
rnacentral:snRNA from 1 species